rnacentral:rRNA from 1 species
UACGUAGGGGGCAAGCGUUGUCCGGAUUUAUUGGGCGUAAAGAGCGUGUAGGCGGCCUGACAGGUCUGCUGUGAAAACUCGAGGCUCAACCUCGAGACGCCGGUGGAAACCAUCUAGCUAGAGUCCGGAAGAGGAGAGUGGAAUUCCUGGUGUAGCGGUGAAAUGCGCAGAUAUCAGGAAGAACACCCGUGGCGAAGGCGGCUCUCUGGGACGUGACUGACGCUGAGACGCGAAAGCGUGGGGAGCGAACAGG